rnacentral:lncRNA from 1 species
GGGUAUUGUAUGAUUGAAGGAUUGAAUUGCAUGAUAACUUACCACUGAAGGAUACUUUUGAUAUUUUCAUCAAAUUUCAUAUCUUUUGGAUAGUCAUGAUAUAUUGCUAAACAUUAAUCUUGACUUGUGGACUCACAUGAAUUAAAGAAGUUUAAUUUAAAAAUUAAUUAGAAAGAGUUCUAAUUAAAAUUAAUGCAUUUGGGUUGA